rnacentral:piRNA from 1 species
UUCCUUUGGGACACUUUCCUACCUCACAGC